AGGGAAUCUUCCGCAAUGGGCGAAAGCCUGACGGAGCAACGCCGCGUGAGUGAUGAAGGUCUUCGGAUCGUAAAACUCUGUUAUUAGGGAAGAACAUAUGUGUAAGUAACUGUGCACAUCUUGACGGUACCUAAUCAGAAAGCCACGGCUAACUACGUGCCAGCAGCCGCGGUAAUACGUAGGUGGCAAGCGUUAUCCGGAAUUAUUGGGCGUAAAGCGCGCGUAGGCGGUUUUUUAAGUCUGAUGUGAAAGCCCACGGCCCAACCGUGGAGGGUCAUUGGAAACUGGAAAACUUGAGUGCAGAAGAGGAAAGUGGAAUUCCAUGUGUAGCGGUGAAAUGCGCAGAGAUAUGGAGGAACACCAGUGGCGAAGGCGACUUUCUGGUCUGUAACUGACGCUGAUGUGCGAAAGCGUGGGGAUCAAACAGGAUUAGAUACCCUGGUAGUCCACGCCGUAAACGAUGAGUGCUAAGUGUUAGGGGGUUUCCGCCCCUUAGUGCUGCAGCUAACGCAUUAAGCACUCCGCCUGGGGAGUACGACCGCAAGGUUG
rnacentral:rRNA from 1 species